UCUAAACGACUCUCGGCAACGGAUAUCUCGGCUCUCGCAUCGAUGAAGAACGUAGCGAAAUGCAAUACUUGGUGUGAAUUGCAGAAUCCCGUGAACCAUCGAGUCUUUGAACGCAAGUUGCGCCCGACGCCUUCGGGCUGAGGGCACGCCUGCCUGGGCGUC
rnacentral:rRNA from 1 species